GAAAAGGGGGUCCCUGGGUGGGACGUUCUGCUGCUCAGCUAGCUCACCAGACGGGGGUUCUGGGGCCCCGAAGUUGGGGCGGGACCUGAAGGACUCAGAAGGGCGAGGAGAAGCGGCGCGAGUAAGACAAACAGGUGGAUUUUUGUCACUUACGACUAAGAUUCCUGACUAAAGCAGCCUUAUACGUCCAGACUCUUUCUGAGUCCCUCUCUGCCUACUUCUUCACCCUCAUCUGGACCACUACACCCAGCUCCACACUCCAGAUACUGGAUUGUAUAGGUGUUGAGGAUACAGUGAUCAAAGCACCCAGCUCUUAAGGAGGUCACGGUUUGGCAGCAAAGACUUACUCCACAAUGUGGUGGCCGCUCGGGUAGAGGUGUGAACGAGAUGCUAUGAGGAGGGGAAGUCCACAUGCUUAGAACCGAGCUCUACUUCAAGUUUAAUUCCAGCUCGGCAGAGUCCUCUGAGUACAACCACCGGUGUCAAAGAGAGCUGGACCUCCCUCCCUCGUGUCUCCAUCACACACCAGAAAGAAAGGCGGUUGGGGAGAGAACGGGCCAGAACCAUGCACACAGACGCACAGAUCUACAAGCGUCAGCCCUGAGGCAAAAUGGUGACCCGGCAAAGUUCUGCUGGGUCACUCCCAUUGUCCCUGAUGACAUUAUGUUAGUGCGACUCUUGGGCACUGCUGAGUGUACUCCCUGUGCGAACACGCCCUCGUUCAGCCACGCCACUGCUGUGGGAUUUGCGGUGUUUCCUGUUUUGAAUUAUUAAAAAUACUACUGCCACGAACGUACUUGUUCAUGUUUUCAGUGUACAAAAACAUGCAUUUGUUGGGUUCAUAACUAAAUCACAUACAUUUUUAUUUUUUUAAAAGAGCACCCAGGGCACCUGGG